rnacentral:misc_RNA from 1 species
CGCACAUUGCGCCCAUUAGUAUUCUAGUGGGCAUGCCUGUUCGAGCGUCAUUAAGUCCAUUAAGCCCUGUUGCUUAGCGUUGGGAGCCCGCUGGCGAAAGCCUGCAGCUCCUCAAAAUUAGUGGCGGAGUUAGCGUAUACUCUAGGCGUAGUAAUUUCAACUCGCCUCUGUGGUUGCGCUGGCGCCUGCCGUAAAACACCCAAUUUUUAAAUGGUUGACCUCGGAUCAGGUAGGAAUACCCGCUGAACUUAA